rnacentral:rRNA from 1 species
GACAGAGGGUGCAAACGUUGUUCGGAAUUACUGGCGUAAAGCGAGUGUAGGCGGUCUCGUAAGUCGGGUGUGAAAGCCCUGGGCUCAACCCAGGAAGUGCACUCGAAACUGCGAGGCUAGAGUACUGGAGAGGUUGGUGGAAUUCUCGGUGUAGAGGUGAAAUUCGUAGAUAUCGAGAGGAACACCGGUGGCGAAGGCGGCCAACUGGACAGAUACUGACGCUGAGACUCGAAAGCGUGGG